CCUACGGGAGGCAGCAGUGGGGAAUUUUGGACAAUGGGGGAAACCCUGAUCCAGCCAUUCCGCGUGAGUGAAGAAGGCCUUCGGGUUGUAAAGCUCUUUCGGCAGGAACGAAACGGCGGACUCUAACAUAGUCUGUCAAUGACGGUACCUGAAGAAGAAGCACCGGCUAACUACGUGCCAGCAGCCGCGGUAAUACGUAGGGUGCGAGCGUUAAUCGGAAUUACUGGGCGUAAAGCGUGCGCAGGCGGCUUGUAAAGACGGAGGUGAAAUCCCUGGGCUAAACCAAGGAACUGCGUUCGAGACGGAAAGGCUAGAGUGCGGCAGAGGGGGGUGAAAUUCCUGGUGUAGCAGUAAAAUGCGUAGAGAUCAGGAGGAACACCGAUGGCGAAGGCAGCCCCCUGGGUUGGAACUGACGCUCAGGCACGAAAGCGUGGGGAGCAAACAGGAUUAGAUACC
rnacentral:rRNA from 1 species